UACGUAGGGUCCGAGCGUUGUCCGGAAUUACUGGGCGUAAAGAGCUCGUAGGUGGUUUGUCGCGUUGUUCGUGAAAACUCACAGCUCAACUGUGGGCGUGCGGGCGAUACGGGCAGACUGGAGUACUGCAGGGGAGACUGGAAUUCCUGGUGUAGCGGUGGAAUGCGCAGAUAUCAGGAAGAACACCCGUGGCGAAGGCGGCUCUCUGGGACGGUACUGACGCUGAGACGCGAAAGCGUGGGGAGCGAACAGG
rnacentral:rRNA from 1 species